rnacentral:lncRNA from 1 species
UGUAAAUAAGCUAAUGACGGAUUUUUAUCCGCUGUUAAAGCUAACAACGGAUUUUAUCCCCGUUAAAGCUAACAGCGGAUAAAAUUCGCCGUUAAACUUUUUGUCCAGUAAUAAAAAAUGUGGAAAGUCAGCUGAGUUUCUACGUUCAUCAUUCGUCGUUCUUGGUUCAUCUUUCGUCGUUCUUCGUUAAUUGUUCAUUGUUCUUCGUUUUCUAGUCAUUUUUUCUUCUUCUUUUAUUCUUCUUCGAUUUUUCUUUUUCUUCUUCUUCGAUUCUUUUUUUUCUUAUUUGAUUUUUCUUUGAUUGUUUUUUAAUUUUUCUUUUUUUCUUUUUCUCGAUUCUUCUUCGAUUCCUCUUCUUUUUUUUGAUUGUUUAAUUUUUCUUCUUUAAUUCAUCUUCUUUGAUUUUUCUU